rnacentral:rRNA from 1 species
CCUACGGGAGGCAGCAGUGGGGAAUAUUGCACAAUGGGGGAAACCCUGAUGCAGCGACGCCGCGUGAAGGAAGAAGUAUUUCGGUAUGUAAACUUCUAUCAGCAGGGAAGAAAAUGACGGUACCUGACUAAGAAGCCCCGGCUAACUACGUGCCAGCAGCCGCGGUAAUACGUAGGGGGCAAGCGUUAUCCGGAUUUACUGGGUGUAAAGGGAGCGUAGGCGGUUCAGCAAGUCAGAAGCUAAAGCCCAGGGCUCAACUCCGGGACUGCUUUUGAAACUGUUGAACUAGAGUGCAGGAGAGGUAAGUGGAAUUCCUAGUGUAGCGGUGAAAUGCGUAGAUAUUAGGAGGAACACCAGUGGCGAAGGCGGCUUACUGGACUGUAAAUGACGCUGAGGCUCGAAAGCGUGGGGAGCAAACAGGAUUAGAUACCCUGGUAGUC